GGCGGACGGGUGAGUAAUGUCUGGGAAACUGCCUGAUGGAGGGGGAUAACUACUGGAAACGGUAGCUAAUACCGCAUAACGUCGCAAGACCAAAGAGGGGGACCUUCGGGCCUCUUGCCAUCAGAUGUGCCCAGAUGGGAUUAGCUAGUAGGUGGGGUAACGGCUCACCUAGGCGACGAUCCCUAGCUGGUCUGAGAGGAUGACCAGCCACACUGGAACUGAGACACGGUCCAGACUCCUACGGGAGGCAGCAUG
rnacentral:rRNA from 1 species